AGAGUUUGAUCCUGGCUCAGGAUGAACGCUAGCUACGGGCUUAACACAUGCAAGUCGAGGGGCAGUAUGGUCUUAGCUUGCUAAGGCCGAUGGCGACCGGCGCACGGGUGAGUAACGCGUAUCCAACCUGCCUUACACUCUUGGACAGCCUUCUGAAAGGGAAAUUAAUACAAGAUGUUAUCAUGAGUAAGCAUUUUCGCAUGAUUAAAGGUUUACCGGUGUAAGAUGGGGAUGCGUUCCAUUAGAUAGUAGGCGGGGUAACGGCCCACCUAGUCUUCGAUGGAUAGGGGUUCUGAGAGGAAGGUCCCCCACAUUGGAACUGAGACACGGCCCAAACUCCUACGGGAGGCAGCA
rnacentral:rRNA from 1 species